GCAGAGCCGUGGCCCUCUUCUUUGUUCUCUGCUGGAUCCAAGGGUCUCCCUCUGUCACCCAGGGCUGGAGUGCAGUGGCAUAAUCACAGCUAAUUGCAGCCUCAACAUUCCAGGCCCAAGGAUCCUCCCUUUAGCCUCCCAGAGUCGGAGUCUCCCUAUGUUUCCCAGGCUGGUCUCGAACUCCUGACCUCAAGUGAUCCUCCCACCUCAGCCUCCCAGAGCGCUGGGAUUGAAGACGUGAGCCACCGCACCUGGCCUGAAUUUUCCUCAGAUUCAAAAAAUCCUGAUGAAGGUUUGGCUAAAAUCUUUGGUGAGUUACCCCCAUCCUUGUGGAACCUCAGGCUGGAUUUGAAGAGUUGCAUGCGUGGUCCUCAUUGUCUCCCAGAUGAAAUUCUGCUGCAAGUGUUUUCCAAGGUUCCGUAUGACCCAUCAUUUGAUGAAACAAGAACAGCAGUCAGAUCCAUUACAAAGAGAGACACACAAAAAAACUAUGUGAAAAUGAGCUUAGCCCCUGGUGUUGUGUUGGAACUUCAGAUGCUUGCAGACACUUCGUGAAUGCUCUGUGACACUCAGAAUAGGCUAUUCCCAACAAAAGAGCUUGAACAGUGCUGCAUUUGCAUCAGGUUCAAAUGAGCGAGAGGAACAUUUGGCUAAAAUAUUUGAUGAAAUUCUACUGCAGGUGUUUCCAAAGGUUCCGUAUCAUCCAUC
rnacentral:sRNA from 1 species